AAAACCAGGCGUGAACUAAUUGAAGCUUUUCACAUAAAGAGAUGCGGGGAUAGAUGCGUUAGCCACCCUUCUAUUGCCAUAACAGAGAUAGAGUAUUCUUAUUUGAUCAACACACUCCAUUAAACUUGUCUGCCUCCUCUCCCCCCUUCCCCCCCACGCAGUUUGAAUUUUCUUUUUCCUGUUUUUUUUAGCAACCCCCUU
rnacentral:lncRNA from 1 species